AUUGAACGCUGGCGGCAGGCCUAACACAUGCAAGUCGAGCGGAGCGGCGGACGGGUGAGUAAUGCCUAGGAAUCUGCCUGGUCGUGGUGGAUGACGUCCGGAAAUGGGCGCUAAUACCGCAUCCUAUCGGUUGAGUCUAGGGCGGAUUAGCUAGUUGGUGGGGUAAAGGCCUACCAAGGCGACGAUCCGUAACUGGUCUGAGAGGAGGAUCAGUCAAACUGGGACUGAGACACGGUCCAGACUCCUACGGGAGGCAGCAGUGGGGAAUAUUGGACAAUGGACGAAAGCCUGAUCCAGCCAUGCCGCGUGUGUGAAGAAGGUUUUCGGAUUGUAAAGCACUUUAAGUUGGGAGGCGUUACCAACAGAAUAAGCACCGGCUAACUACGUGCCAGCAGCCGCGGUAAUUC
rnacentral:rRNA from 1 species